CUUGUUCUGCCUUGUAAACCUCAUGUAUAGAAGAAGACAAUCAAUAACGGACCAGCAAGAUGGCUAAGCAAGGGGGAGGAGGUUGUACAGAUGUGAGCUGGUUGGCGAGUGUUAUUUAUCAAAUGGCUGCCAAAAUGAACGUAAUAUCUAUAGCUGCAGUGUUCUCUUGAAUCCGACCAAAUCAUUUUCUGACAUUUCCUUUUAAAUGCUUUUCCUUUCGGGUAAUUUGUUUCUUCCAACUCUGCUUUUAAGUGUUAGGUGUUCUCUUGGAUGUUGUAUUUUAUAGAUAAAUAUAAUACAUGAUUCUCCUCUCUACAACCAAGCUCACGCCUCUUGGGCACUAAUAUGGUUGGAAAUUGGCAUGCAAGUUAGCCUAUUUUAGACUAGGUUUAUUAAUUAUAUGAAUUGUGCUCACCUAAUUUGUUUUGGAUAGACUACAUAAAUCUAGGAUCUUCAUCUCUAUCAGGACAAAAUAAAGCUCUCCAAGUCUGGACCUCUUGCAUUGAAGUACAAAUGAGGCAAUUUUCUUCUUUACCUUUGGUAAUCUGGUGGAGUUGACAAGGGAGGGUCUUCUCUUGGAGGAUUCUUGGUAAUCCAAUGCGAUUAAUUUUAACCAAACAAGGAAAGAGAAAAAAGAUCUGCCUUAUGGGAAUGCAGAUAUUCAUCUAAUGGAUCGCAUGAAUUGUAGUCGCCUCAAAAAUAAUUGAGCAUUCAUUGCAAGUAUUGCCAAUUUUUUAGAAGUUUGAGCAAUAGAUCAACUUCUUGUGGAUUAGUGCUUGUCUUAAGCCAGUUGUUGAUUUUCGGAGUGCAACCAUUUACCUGAAAGGGGAAUGUGAACUCAAGUACAUAGAAAGGUUGAGUUUGUCGCCAGAGUGGACUCUUAUGUGGUCAUGAUACUAAUGUCGAGGAGGAUCAAGAUUGAUAUGUUUUGUCAACUUUCAAAUUAAGGUAGACAACUUGACUUGUGCUCCGACUCGAUAUUAGUUCAUUUUCAAUACUUUCAAUACUAACAUAAACAUCAGGGUGAAUAA